rnacentral:rRNA from 1 species
CCUACGGGGUGCAGCAGUGGGGAAUAUUGGGCAAUGGACGCAAGUCUGACCCAGCAACGCCGCGUGAAGGAAGAAGGCUUUCUGGUUGUAAACUUCUUUUAAGGGGGAAGAGCAGAAGACGGUACCCCUUGAAUAAGCCACGGCUAACUACGUGCCAGCAGCCGCGGUAAUACGUAGGUGGCAAGCUGUGUCCGGAUUUACUGGGUGUAAAGGGCGUGCAGCCGGAGAGACAAGUCAGAUGUGAAAUCCACGGGCUCAACCCGUGAACUGCAUUUGAAACUGGUUCCCUUGAGUGUCGGAGAGGUAAUCGGAAUGCGGAGUGUAGCGGUGAAAGGCGUAGAUAUUAGGAAGAACACCAGUGGCGAAGGCGGAUUACUGGACGAUAACUGACGGUGAGGCGCGAAAGCGUGGGGAGCAAACAGGAUUAGAUACCCUGGUAGUC